rnacentral:rRNA from 1 species
UAGAAGUCCCGACGCAACCCUUGUCUUGUUACCAGCUUCUGGUGGGCACUCUAAGGAGACUGCCGGUGACAAACCGGAGGAAGGUGGGGAUGACGUCAAGUCAUCAUGGCCCUUACGGCCAGGGCUACACACGUGCUACAAUGGUCGGUACAAAGGGUUGCCAAGCCGCGAGGUGGAGCUAAUCCCAUAAAACCGAUCGUAGUCCGGAUCGCAGUCUGCAACUCGACUGCGUGAAGUCGGAAUCGCUAGUAAUCGUGAAUCAGAAUGUCACGGUGAAUACGUUCCCGGGCCUUGUACACACCGCCCGUCACACCAUGGGAGUGGGUCCUAGUCUAACCUUCGGGGGGACGGUUACCACGGAGUGAUUCAUGACGU